AUUGCCCCUAGAGGAGUUGCAGGUGUGGCUGCUGUGUCACAUGGGUGCCAGUAAGUGGCAGAGAGAAGAGAAACUAUGUCUAUGCACAGUGUUCUGAUCUUUGAACAUCUGAAUGAUGUAGCCUAACAUA